UGAAUAAUGAGAAACAUGAAUGGCAGCAACAGAUGCAAAUGCUAUUGAAGAGCAAUCCCAGUGUGGCUCCAGGGUAUGAAAAGGUCUUGCAGACUCUCUGACUACGCUUUUCCCAAGGAAGAAAAAUGCAGUGGCCGGUACCCAUUUCAGCUGGUUUCUCCCCAGAGAAGCAAACCUCCAUUUGUAAAACACACUGAGGUGAAGAAAUGGUCUGACUGCAUUGGGCGGCAGCACAAGCGGGAAUGAAGCGCAGCCGGGGAAUGUCCCCAGCCGCCGCUUCCCCGCCGGGGAGGUAAGGCGCCCCUUCCUGCGUCCCUUCAGCACCACCCGCCGCGGACAGGACGCGUCCCCGGCGCCGCCGCUGUCCCGUUCUCGCCCGGCGGAACCAGAGGGAAAACGCGCCGAGUUCAACCCUCUCUCGCCCC